UACGUAGGGUCCGAGCGUUGUCCGGAAUUACUGGGCGUAAAGGGCUCGUAGGUGGUUUGUCGCGUUGUUCGUGAAAACUCACAGCUUAACUGUGGGCGUGCGGGCGAUACGGGCAGACUUGAGUACUGCAGGGGAGACUGGAAUUCCUGGUGUAGCGGUGGAAUGCGCAGAUAUCAGGAGGAACACCGGUGGCGAAGGCGGGUCUCUGGGCAGUAACUGACGCUGAGGAGCGAAAGCGUGGGGAGCGAACAGG
rnacentral:rRNA from 1 species